ACCGCUCCCCGGGCAGUCGCUGGUUUUCGAAUGAAAAUUGGAGGAAAGUCCGGACACUACAGAGCAGUGUGCCUCUUGAAAGGGGGGGACAGGGGUCCGAGAGGACCGCUGGACAGAUAGUACCACAGAAAACAAACCGCCUUUUUCGGAAGGUAAGGGUGAAAAGGUGGGGUAAGAGCCCACCGCGCCGAGGGUAACUUAGGUGGCAUGGUAAACCUCUCACAGUGCAAGACAGAACAGGGGAAGGGCUGCUCGUCCGUCCAAUCCCCG
rnacentral:RNase_P_RNA from 1 species